GGAUCAUUACAGAGUUCUAAAAGACUCCCAAAACCAUUGUGAACGUACCCGUCAGCGUUGCCUCGGCGGGCGGCCCCUCCCUGGGGCCGCUGCCUCCCUCGGGGGGUGCCCGCCGGCGUACCAAAACUCUUUUUGUAUUUUAGUGGCCUCUCUGAGAAAACAAGCAAAUAAGUUAAAACUUUCAACAACGGAUCUCUUGGUUCUGGCAUCGAUGAAGAACGCAGCGAAAUGCGAUAAGUAAUGUGAAUUGCAGAAUUCAGUGAAUCAUCGAAUCUUUGAACGCACAUUGCGCCCGCCAGUACUCUGGCGGGCAUGCCUGUUCGAGCGUCAUUUCAACCCUCAAGCCCUGCUUGGUGUUGGGGUCCUACGGCUGCCGUAGGCCCUGAAAGCUAGUGGCGGGCUCGCUAUAACUCCGAGCGUAGUAGUAAAAUAUCUCGCUAGGGAGGUGUCGCGGGUUCCGGCCGUGAAAGCCCAUCUUUUACACAAGGUUGACCUCGGAUCAGGUAGGAAUACCCGCUGAACUUAAGCAUAUCAAUAAGCGGAGGAAAAGAAACCAACAGGGAUUGCCCCAGUAACGGCGAGUGAAGCGGCAACAGCUCAAAUUUGAAAUCUGGCUUCGGCCCGAGUUGUAAUUUGUAGAGGAUGCUUUUGGUGAGGUGCCUUCUGAGUUCCCUGGAACGGGACGCCAGAGAGGGUGAGAGCCCCGUAUAGUUGGACACCGAGCCUCUGUAAAGCUCCUUCGACGAGUCGAGUAGUUUGGGAAUGCUGCUCAAAAUGGGAGGUAUAUCUCUUCUAAAGCUAAAUACUGGCCAGAGACCGAUAGCGCACAAGUAGAGUGAUCGAAAGAUGAAAAGCACUUUGAAAAGAGGGUUAAAUAGUACGUGAAAUUGUUGAAAGGGAAGCGCUUGUGACCAGACUUGUGCCCGGCUGAUCAUCCAGUGUUCUCACUGGUGCACUCUGCCGGGCUCAGGCCAGCGUCGGUUCUCGCAGGGGGACAAAAGCUUCGGGAACGUAGCUCCUCCGGGAGUGUUAUAGCCCGUUGCUCAAUACCCCUGCGGGGACCGAGGU
rnacentral:rRNA from 1 species